ACAUCUAAAUUGGAAAAGUGAAACAAAAUAUUUCGGUAAAAGUAAAAAAAAAUUAAAGUGAAAAAGAAAUAUUUGUUUGGUGAAAAAAUAUUUCUUUAAAAGUGCAUACAAAAUGUUUAGUGCGAGCAAUGUUCUAAUUAAUUUAUAGUUCAAAUUUAUUUUUAAUUGAUUAAUAAUUUAUUUUGGUUAAUGGUCAGUUGAAUUAAUUCACGAGUUACAACAAAAAUUUCUAAAUUGUUUUGUUUCGAGUUUUCUUUUUGUUCCAACGGACUCCAAGUUUACUUUAAUUUUUGACUAUUUGAUUGCCAAAUUUUUUUAUUCUGGUUACAUUUGAUUGAUUGAUUGCCAUUGGACACAAUACAUAAAACUCAAAGACAAGAUGUUAUAUUUCUACUGUCGCUACAGGCUCUGGUUUCCUACCCUCAUUGAAAGUUAAUUGCCGGUUUUAUUCCACUCUACAACAUAAAAUUCCCGAAACCAGAGGGAAAAUAAAACAAUUAAAAAAAAAAACACUCUCAUUACUUAAAUUCGUUUCGAAUUAAGUUCGUUUGGUUUUUUGAAUUUCAUUGGAAUGUGCCAACCGCCAGUCAAACCACCAGAACUAAAAACACCCAGAGACAUGUAAGAGCCUGAAUAUCUAGCAAUUGCAGCCACCAUAUCUAGCAAUUGCAAAAAUAAUUUUACACGCCAAACUGUUUAUGUUUUAAUCACAAUUUCGCAAUUUUUAAAUAAUGUUCAAUAUCACCGAUUUAAUUGUUCAAACAAAGACACGUAAGACCCCAACAGCAGCGAGGGUCGCCUUCAACAUCACAGAGCCAGGAUAUCUAGCAAUCGCAACAAUAAUUUCACACUUUGUUUUUUUUUGUUGGCGGUAAAAAGCUUUGACAAAACACAAGUUCACAAUUGUUCAAUUCUGUUCAAUAUCGAUUAAUUUUAAUGUUACUCACUGUUAAUGUUUAAUUAAGCAAUAAAAUAACAUUAAAAAAUAA